AUACGGAGGAUCCAAGCGUUAUCCGGAAUCAUUGGGUUUAAAGGGUCCGUAGGUCGGUCUUAUAAGUCAGUGGUGAAAGCCCAUCGCUCAACGAUGGAACUGCCAUUGAUACUGUAAGACUUGAAUUUUUGUGAAGUAACUAGAAUAUGUAGUGUAGCGGUGAAAUGCUUAGAUAUUACAUGGAAUACCAAUUGCGAAGGCAGGUUACUAACAAACGAUUGACGCUGAUGGACGAAAGCGUGGGGAGC
rnacentral:rRNA from 1 species